rnacentral:lncRNA from 1 species
CGGGGCAGCGGGGCUGGGCUCCGGCCGGGAGUCAGACGAGGGAGCGCGCGCGCGCUCCCGGACAGUUCUCCGCAGCCGCUCGCCCGAGCCUUCUACUUGGCCAACACAGCUGCCUCUACCACCUCGCGUGCCCGGUUCGUGGGCUUUCAGCUCUGAGGAAGAAACCACCAUUCAAGUUGGAGUGCGGUUAACAUCAAAAGGAGAACGGUGAGAAUGGAGUCUCCCCAAAAUUACUCUGAGCAUCACAGCUGCGUUAGAACAACGGUCAGCAUGCAUACAAAAGGACCUAAACCACAUUCUCCUCGUCCCGGCCGGCCGUCACCCUAGAGCAAGCACAGUUCUUCCUUCAGCUCCUCUCCUGCUCACCAUGGCUCAGCUGAAAUCAUUGCCUAUGAGAUAACCACUCACGGUUUCCCAUCACCACAGUGUUCUCAUGGCCUGCCAAACGAGAACUUGCAGGCCUAGCAUGUAAAGGGACCAGGGAAGGAGGCAGAGUGGGGCCUGCUGUUGAGGCUGGCUGCUUCUGUGUUCUCUGCCUGUGCCAGGCUGCGUAUGGUCUUCACUUGCCGUCUUUGAACUGAGAGAACCUCAGCUGCUUCUGGAAUCCAUUUUGUCCGUAGAGUGGAUAGAAGCCCCUGAAUCGUAUUUCUGGAGGCAGCCCUACCCAGCCACUGCCAGGAAAUUACCAAGCAUGUCCUGAAGAUGAAGAUACUCUCAGCCUAACGUCUCCAAGCAAAUAUUGAUUCAGCAGUAUCCCCAGGCAAAGCCACACCAUAUAUCAGUGAACAGAGAAACAACUGCCCUUCUCCGGGCCCCUGUCUGAGAAGCUGGAGCAUCAGCCCUGGAGCUCUCCGGAGCAGUUUCCUUGCUCACUGUCCCCAGCUGAACACAGCCGCAUGCAGAGGUCCAAAGCACGUAAACAGGAUACCCACCCUGCAUUAUCUUAUAUUUUAAGUCAAUAUGAAGAUGGACAUUCUACCCCUGAGACCAAUUUCGAUCAAAUACUUUUGUCAAUAAAAAGAUACUAAUG